rnacentral:SRP_RNA from 1 species
GGGUAAGUCUUGUACGACCAGCUCCCUGUGAAUUCCCCCAGGAUCGGAAGAUAGCAAGGGUCAACAGGUUGUAGCGGUGCGAUACAAACAGCUUACCCUUU